CGCGGGAUUAGAGUUUGAUCAUGGCUCAGAUUGAACGCUGGCGGCAGGCCUAACACAUGCAAGUCGAGCGGUAACAGAAAAGAAGCUUGCUUCUUUUGCUGACGAGCGGCGGACGGGUGAGUAAUGCCUGGGAAUAUACCCUGAUGUGGGGGAUAACUAUUGGAAACGAUAGCUAAUACCGCAUAAUCUCUUCGGAGCAAAGAGGGGGACCUUCGGGCCUCUCGCGUCAGGAUUAGCCCAGGUGGGAUUAGCUAGUUGGUGGGGUAAUGGCUCACCAAGGCGACGAUCCCUAGCUGGUCUGAGAGGAUGAUCAGCCACACUGGAACUGAGACACGGUCCAGACUCCUACGGGAGGCAGCAGUGGGGAAUAUUGCACAAUGGGGGAAACCCUGAUGCAGCCAUGCCGCGUGUAUGAAGAAGGCCUUCGGGUUGUAAAGUACUUUCAGUUGUGAGGAAGGCGUUAAAGUUAAUAGCUUUAGCGUUUGACGUUAGCAACAGAAGAAGCACCGGCUAACUCCGUGCCAGCAGCCGCGGUAAUACGGAGGGUGCGAGCGUUAAUCGGAAUUACUGGGCGUAAAGCGCAUGCAGGCGGUCUGUUAAGCAAGAUGUGAAAGCCCGGGGCUUAACCUCGGAACAGCAUUUUGAACUGGCAGACUAGAGUCCUGUAGAGGGGGGUAGAAUUUCA
rnacentral:rRNA from 1 species